GCCCCCACUGGGUAAGUUAUCAGCUAUAUUUGGCGUAGUGAGUUUCUGGAUGGAAGAAAGAUGAAGAGAUUGGCAGGUGUGGAGUCAGGGACUCCUUAGUCUUGAAGGAAACAUCCAUGGCUUAGAGGUGAUAGUUUCACCUUCAGGAAGUCAUUUCUCCUCCCAAGCCUGCUUCCUCAUUAAAAAACAGAACACAGCAAUGAUGUUUGUGACUUACAGUGUGUUGUGACCUACAGUGAAGGAGCGUGCGUGAACACCACCUAGUCAAUGCCUAAUACAGGUUUUGCAAAGUAACUCUGAAAGCAACUUCUGCAGUGAUGUGAAUCUGCCCACGGGGUAUUUUUACCCUGAAUAACAAUAACUCCCCAUAGAACCGAACGGCUCCUUUUGGCAGAGCUCUAUUAUUGUUAUUUGGGACUGACGGCCUGUCAGUCUUUUCUUCCAGAAGCAGAAAUGCUAAUCAGGCCUUCAGCAUGAUGGGACUGAGGACUCACACUCCUGUGCUUUGCUUGGGCCCACGUGGACAACGGUUUUGCUGAAUCUUGUUUUUGGAGGUCCUUCUGGAGAGGCGGCCUGAAAGAAACUCUGGCAAUCAAGAGAAUGUUGUUGUAACCCAGCUUGCUGUACGACAUGGUUCACCAAAUUACAUUAGCAUAUAAAACUUGGA
rnacentral:lncRNA from 1 species